AUUGAACGCUGGCGGCAGGCCUAACACAUGCAAGUCGAGCGGAUGAAGGGAGCUUGCUCCUGGAUUCAGCGGCGGACGGGUGAGUAAUGCCUAGGAAUCUGCCUGGUAGUGGGGGAUAACGUCCGGAAACGGGCGCUAAUACCGCAUACGUCCUGAGGGAGAAAGUGGGGGAUCUUCGGACCUCACGCUAUCAGAUGAGCCUAGGUCGGAUUAGCUAGUUGGUGGGGUAAAGGCCUACCAAGGCGACGAUCCGUAACUGGUCUGAGAGGAUGAUCAGUCACACUGGAAAUCAGAGACGGGCUACAGUCCUAUAGGAGGGACAAGAGGGGAAUAUAGGAGACUGGGCGCGAGCGUGUUCCAGACAUGCGGCGCGUGUGAAGAAGGUCUUCGGAUUGUAAAGCACUUUAAGUUGGGAGGAAGGGCAGUAAGUUAAUACCUUGCUGUUUUGACGUUACCAACAGAAUAAGCACCGGCUAACUUCGUG
rnacentral:rRNA from 1 species